rnacentral:rRNA from 1 species
UACGUAGGGGGCUAGCGUUGCUCGGAAUUACUGGGCGUAAAGGGCGCGUAGGCGGCUAUCUAAGUUGGGGGUGAAAUCCCGGGGCUCAACCUCGGAAUUGCCUUCAAAACUGGAUAUCUUGAGUUCGGGAGAGGUGAGUGGAACUGCGAGUGUAGAGGUGAAAUUCGUAGAUAUUCGCAAGAACACCAGUGGCGAAGGCGGCUCACUGGCCCGAUACUGACGCUGAUGCACGAAAGCGUGGGGAGCAAACAGG